UCUAGGCAGGCCAUAGGGCCCUGUUUCUCAGAGUAAAUCUGGUUACGUUGUACCUAUGAGUGCUAUAGACCAUAGGACCUCUGAUGAUGUAUAUGAAUAAGACGUAUAUGCUAGAAAUCAACGGAGUAAGUGACAUUUUUUCCAGGAUGAAAGGACCUCAAAUAUUCGCUCUCAAAGGGAAGUAAGCCCUAUAUGUUUGGAACGACAUGAGGGUGAGUAAAUGAUGAAAAAAAUCAAUCUCAUCUGCAAUCUGCAAUCUGCAAUCUGCAAUCUCAUCUAUCCUUCUUCAGCAUUAAACUACAUCACAGGUCCAAGUCCAGGUUAAGCAUGACCACGUGCAAGAGAAAAGACUUCUUGCUUCAUCUCAGCUGAUUAGUGGAGCCAGUUGAUUGGUGUAAAUGAGGAAGCUUUCAUCCUCCUUGAGUAUAAUCUGCUUGCAUCUUUAUUGGCUAAAAGCAGGCGUGAUGCUGGUCUGACCCAAGCUGGCCCAGGUACUGUCCUCAGAUAGGGUAGUGACACUAAUGUCUUCUGACACACACAUCCCCCCAUGCCCUUCCUGUUAAAGGUACACACACAGAUACACCGCAGAAAAAAAUAUCAAAAUCUUAUGCAUGCACUUUUCAAUUACACUACUUUGGUCAAUUACUAUAUAUAUAUAUUUUUAUAUACAGCAUAUUAAAAUGCACAAUCAUGGUGGAGGCGAACAGGAACGCUCAACGCUCAACACUUUGUAACUGUCGGCUUUGGUGUAAUGGCUGCCUGUUUUCUUCUCAUCCUCUUCUGCCUUGCCUAGCUGCACAGAUCCUUGGAGCAUCUUUCCUAUGUGUCUGUUCCUCUCUGUGCUGCAACACAGCCUGUUAUUUCAAGGAAAGUGCAACCUUUGCCUUAGGCUUUAAUUAUGUUCAAUUUGCCAAGCCGAGCCUGAAAAAUUCAGAGGGUAAAAAAGCUCUAUGACCUAUUUAUUAAUGCUGCGCUGGGUCUAAAGCUACACUGAGAUCAGCACUGCAUCGCUCAACAAUAACACCCAUCUCUGGAGAACAGACUUCAAUCAUGCUGUACUCCUCUCUUACAGCAGGGAGUUCAUUACUUUAUAAUAGAUCUCUGACUAGUUAAUCAUUAUUAAAAUAAGUGUAAAAGUUAGAAGUUAAGUGUGAUUCAUCUUUGGCUUAUAUAACUUUUUAUAUAUUGUUCCACAAUACAUAAUUCUAAUAAAUAAUAAAGAGUAUAUUCCUAAAUAUAUAUUAUUUAAUAUAAUAUAUUUCAUAUAAUAUAUUAUUUAUAUGUUAUUAAA